rnacentral:rRNA from 1 species
GACGAACGCUGGCGGCGUGCUUAACACAUGCCAGUCGAACGGAAAGGCCUCUUUCGGGGGGUACUCGAGUGGCGAACGGGUGAGUAACACGUGAGUAACCUGCCCUUGACUUUGGGAUAACUUCAGGAAGCUGGGGCUAAUACCGGAUAGGAGCUCCUGCUGCAUGGUGGGGGUUGGAAAGUUUCGGCGGUUGGGGAUGGACUCGCGGCUUAUCAGCUUGUUGGUGGGGUAGUGGCUUACCAAGGCCUUGCCGGGUAGCCGGCCUGAGAGGGUGACCGGCCACAUUGAGACCGAGAUACGGCCCAGACUCCUAAGGGAGGCAGCAGUGGGGAAUCUUGCACAAUGGGUGGAAGGCUGAUGCAGCAACGCCGUGUGCGGGAUGACGGCCUUCGGGUUGAAAACCGAUUUCGCUCAUGACGAAGCUUUGUGUGACGGUAGUGGGUAAAGAAGCACCGGCUAACUACGUG